AUAAGGGCUACGCGUAGUUUGAUGACGGUACCUUACGAAUAACCAUCGGCUAACUCCGUGCCAGCAGCCGCGGUAAUACGGAGGAUGCGAGCGUUAUCCGGAAUCAUUGGGUUUAAAGGGUCUGUAGGCGGGCUAGUAAGUCAGAGGUGAAAGCGCUUAGCUCAACUAAGCAACUGCCUUUGAAACUGUUGGUCUUGAAUGGUUGUGAAGUAGUUGGAAUGUGUAGUGUAGCGGUGAAAUGCUUAGAUAUUACACAGAACACCGAUAGCGAAGGCAUAUUACUAACAAUUAAUUGACGCUGAUGGACGAAAGCGUGGGGAGCGAACAGGAUUAAAUACCCUGGUAGUCCACGCUGUAAACGAUGGAUACUAACUGUUUGGAGCGAUCUGA
rnacentral:rRNA from 1 species